CUAGUCAUAGACUUUAGCGUUUGUUUUUGGUUUUAUUUACCCAGAAUGCCCUGCGCUGUAGUCCACUUCCGCAUAGCAUACGCAUGCAUUCGAACAGCAUCAGAGUUCACUAUAAUCUAACAAGAUCUAGGUUUGUAGGCGGACCAGAGUUUGUUUUUUUGUUCACAUCUCCCCAAGCAAACCGGACUUUCUACACAGAUUAAAUCGGACUGAACAUGGCUGGUGUGAAUGCAACCUAAGUUUAGUUUAGUAAAGUCCGGUAUCAUGGAUCUGGAGCUUAUUUAUGAUGCCAGGAUACUAUGACUACUACUCCUCUAUCCCAACAACAACAACAACGUUUCUCUAUGAAGUUUGUGGGCCUUCUGUAUCAUAUGUAUAACUGCUGCUGAAUGCCUUGUGAUGUGACCACAACAUGAAAAAACAAGAAAACUAAGAAGCAGGGAGAAAAUUUUCCCCUCCAGGAUUCAGUUUCACGAGUGGACAGAUGCUGUGAAAAUCCGGUCUUGUCACAGAUGCAACAGAUUUUACAACCAGCACAUGGUACAGUAAACAGUAAGCUGAAUUGUAACCAUCAUCUGAGCGCCCCACACCGUGUCUGAAACAUGAGAUUCCUUCGCCCUUCAGUGUAGGCAUCCAUGAAUCCACCACAAAUCUUUCAGUGAGAGAACAGACGUUUGGCUUUUAUUUCAACACUGGACAGACACUUGUGCUUUCUCACUUUGGCUUUAGUAGCAAUGAAGAAAAUAUUCAAGAAUAUAAAUCCAAACUGAUCAAUCUGUCUUGGAUCAAGCAGAAUCUGUCACCUUUACAUCCAUCCUACUUUCCGUGUCUCACAAAUCAAACCAAUCCAUCCCAGCUUCUUAAUUUAAAUUCCCUUCAUUUCACAAAGUCCACAAACAGACAGUAUGUGUCAGCAGGAAGAGAUCAUGAUCAACCAAACUGAAUGCAGGCGUGCCUCAGGGUUGUGUUCUCAGUCCUUUGCCCUUUCCCAGCAUCAACACAAUCAGUAACAAUGAUCAGAACAACAAUAAUAUAUAAAUAUACUGUCCAAAAACUAAAUCGAUGGAUUAGAACGUGUCAAGUUCAAGGGUAGGGGGUGAUUAUUUAUUAUUGUUUUGCUUUGUAAGUUCUUCACAUGUGUCGUGUCAGCAAAAACAAAAAUAAACCAUCACUCCUCCUA